ensembl:ncRNA Y106G6A.7 ncRNA
GUUGAGGUAGAAAGACAAAAAAACCGGGUGAGAAUGAGAUCUUUUCUUCACGCAUAUUCGCCUACUGCCUACUAGAGAGGUCGAUGAAAAUGCGGCAGAGAUAAGCAUCACAGUUGAGGUCGGAUGAUGCUACUUCUCUACUACUGAAUAACCCUUUCAUGUGACAAUGUUAGUGGGACGAGGAGGGAUAAAUUUGAAAUUAAAUCUAGA